rnacentral:rRNA from 1 species
AUUAAACGCUGGCGGCAUGCCUUACACAUGCAAGUCGAACGGCAGCACGGGGGCAACCUUGGUGGCGAGUGGCGAACGGGUGAGUAAAGCAUCGGAACGUGCCCUGGAGUGGGGGAUAACGUAGCGAAAGUUACGCUAAUACCGCAUAUUCUGUGAGCAGGAAAGCAGGGGAUCGCAAGACCUUGCGCUCUGGGAGCGGCCGAUGUCGGAUUAGCUAGUUGGUGGGGUAAAGGCCUACCAAGGCGACGAUCCGUAGCGGGUCUGAGAGGAUGAUCCGCCACACUGGGACUGAGACACGGCCCAGACUCCUACGGGAGGCAGCAGUGGGGAAUUUUGGACAAUGGGCGAAAGCCUGAUCCAGCCAUGCCGCGUGAGUGAAGAAGGCCUUCGGUUGGUUAAAGACUCUUUCGGUGGGGAAGGAAAGUUAGUCAUAGGCUAAUACCCUCGUGUAGAUGACGGUACCU